UUUAAGGUCUAGCCUGCCCAAUGAGUGGUUGAAUGGCCGCGGUAUUUUGACCGUGCAAAGGUAGCAUAAUAAUUAGUUUUUUAAUUGGAAGCUGGAAUGAAUGGUUGGACGAAAGAGUUACUGUCUCAUUUUAAUUUGGUUAGAAUUUUAUUUUUAAGUUAAAAAGCUUAAAUUAUUUUAAAAGACGAGAAGACCCUAUAGAGUUUUACAUUAUUUAUUAUAUUUUAUUGGUUAGUAUUUAUUUAUAUGUAUAUUAAUUAAGUGUUUUGUUGGGGAGACAUAAAAAUUUAUUGAACUUUUUAUUUUAUUUUUCACUUUUUUGUGAUUGGUUGAUCCAUUAGUAAUGAUUAUAAGAUUAAGUUACCUUAGGGAUAACAGCGUAAUUUUUUUUUAGAGUUCUUAUCGAAAGGGAAGAUUGCGACCUCGAUGUUGGAUUAAAGUUAAUGUUUGGUGUAGUGGCUAAAUAAUUAGGUCUGUUCGACCUUUAAAAUUUUACA
rnacentral:rRNA from 1 species